CUCACCAUUUAGAGGGGAAAGCACAAAUGCUAGAAGUCCUUGAAGGGUCUGGGUGGAUCAAUGUUUCUUCACCACUGAACAGGGACACACUGAACAUUUCUCAGCCCUCUAAUAAUAAUUUAGAUCUGAUAUUUUUCUCUGUUCCCCCUGUCAUGCAGUGUCACGGAUGUCGUAUGAUAGAGACCAAGGCGCAGGGUGACACCGGGGGGAAUGGUCGCUGUCAUCCAUCAACCAAGUGAUCCAUUAGCUCAAUGUGAUACGGCCCACUAAUAACGUGGCUCAACUGGGCGGGGGCCACCCGCCAGCAUUAACAUCCUGAUAAGGCAGAGUCAGGGUGGUAGACGACGGCUGGUGUGCGUUACCGUGCCAAUCCUCUCCCACCAUUCCGCCAUCCACGACUCCAUCCAUUAUUGCUAUUUAUGAAUGUUUAUGAUUGAUCAGUCAUUUUGGAGAAUCGCUUUGGCAGUUGUUGCUCCCUGCACGUGUCACGACUUCAGCCGAAGUCGGUUCCUCUCCUUGUUCGGGCGGCGCUCGGCGGUCGGCGUCGCUGGUCUACUAGCCAUCGCCGAUCCACUUUUCAUUUUCCAUUUGUUUGGUCUUUGUUUCUACACACCUGUUUUUCAUUCCCCUAAUUAUUGUUCAUGUAUUUAACCCUCUGUUUCCCCCAUGGUGUUGUGCGGGAUUGUUUAAUGUCAUGUUCGGUAAUGUUGGUGACUGGUUAUUUCGACGGGUGCUGUUUUUUGCCCGUGCGUAAAAGUUGAUGUUUGUGUUUGGGCAAGUGUAGUGUUUUACCUUGCAUCAUUCAUUAUUCUGAGUAAGUUACGUUGCUCCCAAUUCUCUGCUCUCCUGCGCCUGACUGCAUACACCAGCUACUCCCAGCCUUAUGACAGCACUUUAUGUGAUUUAUGUCUUUCCAGAGUAAACGAUGAGAGAUGUUAGCGAUUCACAGAGCCAAAGGGGAUGAAGACAGUGUGUUAAAUACAUUUACUGUAACACAGUCUGUCUGUCUGUCACAGAUUCAUUUCCAUUAUCUUCCCCUGUUGAGAGACAUGGUCCUGAAGGCAAAUCAGUAAAUUAUUUAAAUGGCAGAAAAUGAAUAUCUAACUCCAUAUUUACAAUUCAAAAAAGCCCUGUUGGUUAAAAUAGACCUGGGAAUUACUAAAUAAAUUAACCGAAUUUUGGAGUGUUGAGAAUAAGAAAACAAAAAAGUGUUUUUAAUUGUUAGGAGAUUUAAUUAUAUGAGUCAUGGAAAUGAUUGUUCAAUUAGAGUGCUAUUUUGUCUUCUUAAAAACACAACUAAGCCAGAAUGUCACGAAGUCGGGUCCUCUCCUUGUUCGGGCGGCGCUCAGCGGUUGGCGUCGCCGGUCUUCUAGCCAUCAUCGAUCCACUUUUCAUUUUCCAUGUG